GAUGAAGAACGUAGCGAAAUGCGAUACUUGGUGUGAAUUGCAGAAUCCCGUGAACCAUCGAGUCUUUGAACGCAAGUUGCGCCCGAAGCCAUUAGGCCGAGGGCACGCCUGCCUGGGCGUCACACGUCGUUGCCCCCCCAUCUACUCCUUCGGGAUUGUGGGGGGCGGAUGAUGGCCUCUCGUGCGCCUCGUCGCGCGGUUGGCCUAAAUGCCAAGUCCUCGGCGACGCACGCCACGACAAUCGGUGGUUGCGAAACCUCGGUUGCCUGUCGUGUGCGGUCGUCGCGCAUCGAGGGCUCGAAAAAAUUGCCGGGCUUCGGCUCGACUUUCAACGCGACCCCAGGUCAGGCGGGGUUACCCACUGAAUUUAAGCAUAUCAAUAAGCGGAGGA
rnacentral:misc_RNA from 1 species